GGUUUGUGGCUCAGUGGUAGAGCACUCGCCUAGCAUGUGUGAGGCCCUGGGUUCAAUACUCAGCACCA
rnacentral:tRNA from 1 species